GUGGCUCGAUUUUUCCAGGAUCAAAAUGUCUUCAGAACAGCUCAAAAUUGAGGCUCGAUUUCAAUAAAUCAUGGCUCAAUUUUUCCUUAUCGCAACACUUAUUUUCUGUCCUUUUUUAGCCUCUGGCAUCUGUGAACUCAUCUGAACUCAAGUAAAAUGAAUAAAAAGACUACUAAAAAGAUGAUAUGACCUAGUGUCACCAAGAAUCUAAAUAUCUACCGUAUCAAGAAAUCUCAAAACCUUAUAAAUGUGUCUACAAAAGGGAAUUCGAAAGAAAAUCCCGUAUGAUGAGAGCUGCACAUUAUUUGAAAAGAGAUUGGAAGAAGAAAAAGUGUCGCAAAUGGUACGUUAUUAAAACACUUUUUGUAUCACCGGUAACAAGAAAAAAAUGUUACAUUCAUCAUUUUUUAGAAGUUGUAAAAAGUGUCGCAAAAUUGUCUAAACCAAAAAAUUGUGAAUCUACCAAAUUUGUUUUUGCUUAGAUUUCAUUCAUAUUUGAAUUAACCAAUAUGAGAAGAUCGAAAGUCAUUCAAAUUUACAACUUCAAAGCAUGUAAAGGUAAAAAGAAAAAUAGUAAUAAUAAGCCUC
rnacentral:lncRNA from 1 species